GGGGAAUAUUGGACAAUGGGGGCAACCCUGAUCCAGCCAUGCCGCGUGAGUGAUGAAGGCCUUCGGGUUGUAAAGCUCUUUUGGCGGGGACGAUGAUGACGGUACCCUAGGAAUAAGCACCGGCUAACUCCGUGCCAGCAGCCGCGGUAAUACGGAGGGUGCAAGCGUUAUCCGGAUUCACUGGGUUUAAAGGGUGCGUAGGAGGGCAGGUAAGUCAGUGGUGAAAUCUCCAAGCUUAACUUGGAAACUGCCGUUGAUACUAUCUGUCUUGAAUAUUGUGGAGGUGAGCGGAAUAUGUCAUGUAGCGGUGAAAUGCUUAGAUAUGACAUAGAACACCAAUUGCGAAGGCAGCUCGCUACUCAAUUAUUGACUCUGAGGCACGAAAGCGUGGGGAUCAAA
rnacentral:rRNA from 1 species